rfam:Ricinus communis cultivar Hale ctg_1100012351612, whole genome shotgun sequence.
GUGUCCCCUAGAGUUCCCUUGACCACUUCAUUGUGGAUUAUUCUUCAAGCUCAAGGAGUUGGUUUACACUGAAGUGUUUGGGGGAACUCCUGGUGUCAC